rnacentral:rRNA from 1 species
UACGUAGGGGGCAAGCGUUGUCCGGAAUCAUUGGGCGUAAAGCGCGUGUAGGCGGCUGGCUAAGUCCGCUCUGAAAGCCCGGGGCUCAACCCCGGGAGGCGGGUGGAUACUGGUCAGCUCGAGUCCGGAAGAGGAGUGUGGAAUUCCUGGUGUAGCGGUGAAAUGCGCAGAUAUCAGGAGGAACACCAGUGGCGAAGGCGGCUCACUGGCCCGGUACUGACGCUGAGGUGCGAAAGCGUGGGGAGCAAACAGG